CGACGGCUCGCAGGAGGGCUGAGGUGGCGCCCGGUCGCCGUCCGGGCGGGUCGCCCGCCGGGUCGCUGCCGGUGCUGCUGGC
rnacentral:tRNA from 1 species